rnacentral:rRNA from 1 species
AUUGAACGCUGGCGGCAUGCUUUACACAUGCAAGUCGAACGGUAACAGGCCUUCGGGCGCUGACGAGUGGCGAACGGGUGAGUAAUGCAUCGGAACGUGCCCAGUCGUGGGGGAUAACGCAGCGAAAGCUGUGCUAAUACCGCAUACGAUCUGCGGACGAAAGCGGGGGACCUUCGGGCCUCGCGCGAUUGGAGCGGCCGAUGUCAGAUUAGGUAGUUGGUGGGGUAAAGGCUCACCAAGCCAACGAUCUGUAGCUGGUCUGAGAGGACGACCAGCCACACUGGGACUGAGACACGGCCCAGACUCCUACGGGAGGCAGCAGUGGGGAAUUUUGGACAAUGGGCGCAAGCCUGAUCCAGCAAUGCCGCGUGCAGGAAGAAGGCCUUCGGGUUGUAAACUGCUUUUGUACGGAGCGAAAAGGCUCCCUCUAAUACAGGGGGCCCAUGACGGUACCGUAAGAAUAAGCACCGGCUAACUACGUGCCAGCAGCCGCGGUAAGAC